AAGUCGAACGGUAACAGGAAGAAGCUUGCUUGCUUUCGCUGACGAGUGGCGGACGGGUGAGUAAUGUCUGGGAAACUGCCUGAUGGAGGGGGAUAACUACUGGAAACGGUAGCUAAUACCGCAUAACGUCGCAAGACCAAAGAGGGGGACCUUCGGGCCUCUUGCCAUCGGAUGUGCCCAGAUGGGAUUAGCUUGUAGGUGGGGUAACGGCUCACCUAGGCGACGAUCCCUAGCUGGUCUGAGAGGAUGACCAGCCACACUGGAACUGAGACACGGUCCAGACUCCUACGGGAGGCAGCAGUGGGGAAUAUUGCACAAUGGGCGCAAGCCUGAUGCAGCCAUGCCGCGUGUAUGAAGAAGGCCUUCGGGUUGUAAAGUACUUUCAGCGGGGAGGAAGGGAGUAAAGUUAAUACCUUUGCUCAUUGACGUUACCCGCAGAAGAAGCACCGGCUAACUCCGUGCCAGCAGCCGCGGUAAUACGGAGGGUGCAAGCGUUAAUCGGAAUUACUGGGCGUAAAGCGCACGCAGGCGGUUUGUU
rnacentral:rRNA from 1 species